rnacentral:rRNA from 1 species
UCGAGAAUCUUCCGCAAUGGACGAAAGUCUGACGGAGCGACGCCGCGUGCGGGAUGAAGGCCCUUGGGUUGUAAACCGCUGUCAGAGGGGAUGAAAUCUUCGGAGGUACUCCUCCGAAGUUGACAGAGCCUCAAAGGAAGCACGGGCUAAGUACGUGCCAGCAGCCGCGGUAACACGUACUGUGCGAACGUUAUUCGGAAUCACUGGGCUUAAAGGGUGCGUAGGCGGCGAUUCAAGUCAGGUGUGAAAUGCCUGAGCUCAACUGAGGCAUUGCGCUUGAAACUGAAUUGCUAGAGUAUCCCAGGGGUGUGCGGAACUGCCAGUGGAACGGUGAAAUGUGUUGAUAUUGGCAGGAACACCGGAGGCGAAAGCGGCACACUGGGGGAUAACUGACGCUGAGGCACGAAAGCCAAGGGAGCGAACGGGAUUAGAUACCCCCGUAGUCCCUGAGCGGGCUGGCAAGGCGCAU